GACGAACGCUGGCGGCGUGCCUAAUACAUGCAAGUCGAGCGGACCGAACAGGAGCUUGCUCUUGUUCGGUUAGCGGCGGACGGGUGAGUAACACGUGGGUAACCUGCCCGUAAGACCGGGAUAACUCCGGGAAACCGGAGCUAAUACCGGAUAACACCGAAGACCGCAUGGUCUUUGGUUGAAAGGCGGCUUCGGCUGCCACUUACGGAUGGGCCCGCGGCGCCUUAGGUAGUUGGUGAGGGAACGGCUCACCAAGGCGACGAUGCGUAGCCGGCCUGAGAGGGUUACCUGCCACACUGGGACUGAGACACGGCCCAGACUCCUACGGGAGGCAGCAGGAGGGAAUCUUCCGCAAUGGACGAAAGUCUGACGGAGCGACGCCGCGUGAGCGAAGAAGGGCUUCGGAUCGUAAAGCUCUGUUGUUAGGGAAGAAGAAGCGUCGUUCGAACAGGGCGGCGCGGUGACGGUACCUAACGAGAAAGCCCCGGCUAACUACGUG
rnacentral:rRNA from 1 species